CAGUCGCCGCGGUAAUACGUAGGUGGCAAGCGUUGUCCGGAAUUAUUGGGCGUAAAGGGCUCGCAGGCGGUUUCUUAAGUCUGAUGUGAAAGCCCCCGGCUCAACCGGGGAGGGUCAUUGGAAACUGGGAAACUUGAGUGCAGAAGAGGAGAGUGGAAUUCCACGUGUAGCGGUGAAAUGCGUAGAGAUGUGGAGGAACACCAGUGGCGGAGGCGACUCUCUGGUCUGUAACUGACGCUGAGGAGCGAAAGCGUGGGGAGCGAACAGGAUUAGAGACCCCUGUAGUCCCUGUCUCUUAUAC
rnacentral:rRNA from 1 species